UUGGACAGCGUGCCCGUGGCGCAGGUGAGCACGUUCACGUCGUCCACGCUCAGCUGGCUCACCAGGGUCUUCAGCACCCCCUCCAGGCCCUCCUGGGGACGCAGCGCGGGUGCAGGGUCUAAGUUCCAGGCUGAGCUCAAACUUGCGGUCCUCCUGCCUCAGCCUCCCACAGUGCACCGUCAGGCUCAGCUAAUGCCCGGGCAUUUCCAGAAGGAGCCUAGCACUGGGGACAGACGGUGCUGACUUUGAAUCCCAGCUCUCCCACCUGCUGGCUGAGAAGGUGAGCACUGUUGAACUCCCGGGGCCUCAGUUUCUCCAGCUAAGCCAGGGGGGUACACUCUGCACCCCGAGCUUUCGGAAAUUAAGGGGCUCGGGGCCUGGUCCUGGGCUGGAUUCUUCCCCGGAAGCCGUCCUAUGGCUCACGAUCCGGACAAAAGUGCCCCCCCAGCCCGGCCCAGGGCACCGGGCUCCC